CAUUUUUCAUCAUAUUCAUCUUAAAAAAGUAAAAGAACAGCAACGCACACUUCUGUGCAUGGGUUUGUUUGAAAAAUGUGUUUCUAAAGC